GUCUGGUGCAUAGCAAGUGCUCAGUAAAUGUUAGUUAUCAUUAAGAUUAUUCCUUUUAGGGAUCAGCUCAAAUUCUGCAACCUCAACCACCCCAGCCAUCAUUUGAUGCAAUCCCCUUUCACUCCCCAGCCAUCCAUUCAUUGCCAGUUGUCAGCACCCAGAACUGAAUUCCUUCCCUCAGAGGAAGGGAAGGGCAUCAAGAAAAGGUGAUGUCGAACUCGAAAAGAAUGAAGCAACAUUUGCCAGUAAAAUGAGGUUUGGAGAGAGGACAUUCUAGGCAAAGAGGACGUUUUGAGCAACAGCAUAAAGUGUUUUUUAAGCAAAAAAGAAAAAAGGAAAAAAGGGGAGGAAUGAAAGAGACAGAGCCGGCCACUACCUCAUCUAGCAAAUAGAAGCCUACAGACACUUACUGAAGGACAACACAGCCACAAUCAAGAAAAAUAACAGGAAAAAUGACCCCACAGCUCCUAAUAAAUGCUAUGUUUCAGAGCCUGGGCUCAUUGCCACCCUUGCCCCUACCCGCCUUUGCUGGCUGUCAGUCAAAAAAACAAUAAAUAGUACACGAAAGUGGAUCCAAGGUGGAGAACAAUGAUUUGGAACUCUUGCCAGACCCGGAUGCAAAGGCACUUGGAGAG
rnacentral:lncRNA from 10 species